rnacentral:rRNA from 1 species
AAGAAAGUAAGAAAGGGCGUAUGGCGGAUGCCUAGGCUCACGGAGGCGAUGAAGGACGUGAUAAGCUGCGAUAAGCUUCGGGUAGGUGCAAAUAACCCUUGAUCCGAAGAUUUCCGAAUGGGACAACCUAGCCGUCUGAAGGACGGUUACUAGCACUCAUGUGUUAGAGCUAACGCAGGGAACUGAAACAUCUUAGUACCCGGAGGAAGAGAAAGAAAAUUCGAUUACCUUAGUAGCGGCGAGCGAAACGGGAAGAGCCCAAACCCACAAGCUUGCUUGUUGGGGUUGUAGGACACUCUAUACGGAGUUACAAAGGGCGACAUUAGACGAAUCAUCUGGAAAGAUGAAUCAAAGAAGGUAAUAAUCCUGUAGUCGAAAAUGUUGUCUCUCUUGAGU